rnacentral:rRNA from 1 species
GACAGAGGCCCCAAGCGUUAGGCGGAAUCACUGGGCUUAAAGCGUGUGUAGGCGGAUCGUUAAGUGUCUUGUGAAAUCCCACGGCUCACCCGUGGAACUGCUGGGCAUACUGGCGAUCUUGGGCCAACUAGGGGCAGUCGGAACAAGCGGUGGAGCGGUGAAAUGCGUAGAUAUCGCUUGGAACGCCGAAGGUGAAAACAGCUCGCUGGGGGUGCACUGACACUGAGACACGAAAGCCAGGGGAGCGAACGGG